AUCAAAUAAAACUUUCAACAACGGAUCUCUUGGUUCCAGCAUCGAUGAAGAACGCAGCGAAAUGCGAUAAGUAAUGUGAAUUGCAAAAUUCAGUGAAUCAUCGAAUCUUUGAACGCACAUUGCGCCCUCUGGUAUUCCGGGGGGCAUGCCUGUUCGAGCGUCAUUUCACCACUCAAGCCUGGCUUGGUAUUGGGCGUCGCGG
rnacentral:rRNA from 1 species